AUUUAGCUCAUCAAAAUUCUAAAAACCAGUUAAAAAUUCAAUGUCUUCAAAAUUCGCCAUCAAAAAAUUCAGUGUUCAAAAUUCGCCAUCAAAAAAUUCAAUGUUAAAAAAUUCGCUGUCAAAAAAUUCGCUGUUCACAUCUGGGGGACUCAGGCGUAAACAAUCGAUCCUGGCCAAAAUCGAACCAAUGCCCAGCCAAUCACGUGGCGCUCCUCCGGUCAUGUGACGCAGACGGUUCACCUCAUAAGACCGGGGUCAACCACGGCUACCAGCAUGAACGACGGCGCUUCAAUGCACAAUGAGGGACGUCUGCAGAGACUGAGAAAGAGUCUCACCAAAUCCUGACAUGAGGAAAAAGACUUUAUUGAAGACUGCAAUGAGAAAAACUAUCAGACAGCAGACGGCUGCAUUCAAGGUGAGCUCUGAACAUUUGAUGUGGAACAGGAAUUCAACAACGGCAGCAUGAGCUUCAUUUCAGUCUGUAGCUGCUGAAUUCAUGGAUGAAUCAUCUGGCACUAGAGAAGAAGACCAUCAAACAUCCACGUCAGCUGAUGGAGGUCCAAGAGUCUCACCAAACAAACAACCUACAGAGUGAAGACCUCAAAUCUGAUUGGACGGCCUCCUAUUCAGCCACGUGUGAACAAAUGCCUCUAAGCUGAUUUGUUUUCUAAAAUAAAUCUAGUUUGUGUCCUAA